GGGUGUAUAGCUCAGCGGUAAAGUAUUCAACUGCAUAUUGAAAGGUCUCCUGUUCAAACCUGGGUGUCCCUU
rnacentral:tRNA from 1 species